GGUCAAUUUGUAAUAAGCUAUAAGCGGGACCUACUACGUCAUUGCCGGUGUUCGACGAAACUACGAAUUACUGCGGGUUGAUUUUUUAAAAAUAUAUUUCAAACAUGUUUUGCCGAGAAUCAAACACCAAUAAAAAACAUAUAUAGUCCUUCGUGCGAGUUAACGUUGCUGACAUUUUAUUAUUAACAUCCUGCGUAAAAGGUU